UGUAUAUCGAUGCAGAAGGGUGCCGAAGUGAGCGAAUCGCUAGUAGGCUUAAUAGGGAAUCUGGUGCGAAUCCAGAACUGUCCCCGCAACUGUAAAUGCUGACGAAAUGAAAUAACCACUGUGCGGUAUUGAUGGGCAAGCUGUUGGCCGCAUGGGAAGGUUCAAAGUAGGAUGAAGCAUAAGUCAGUAGACCUGCCCUGACUGCUCGAUGUUU
rnacentral:ncRNA from 2 species